UUNUUGNNUAARUANGAANUNGNKCCUGCCCACNGMAAUAUUUAAGGGCCGCGGUAUUUUGACCGUGCAAAGGUAGCAUAAUCAUUAGUCUUUUAAUUGAAGGCUGGAAUGAAAGGUUUGACGAAAUAAUCACUGUCUCUAAAUUAUUAUUUGAAUUUUACUUUUAAGUUAAAAGGCUUAAAUGUUGAUGGGGGACGAGAAGACCCUAUAGAUCUUUAUAAUGUGUCUUUUAUUUAAUUUUUUGUWGUAUAUAUUUUAGAUAAAAGAUUUAUUAUUUCGUUGGGGUGACGAGAGAAUAGAAUAGCUUCUUUUAUUAUUACUUUGAUAAGUGGUUAUAUGAUCCUGUAUUAUGGAAUUAAGAUUAAGAUACCUUAGGGAUAACAGCGUAAUUUUGCUGGAGAGUUCUUAUCGAUAGUGAAGAUUGCGACCUCGAUGUUGGAUUAAGAAUAUAACUAGGUGCAGAAGUUUAGUUUAUUGGUCUGUUC
rnacentral:rRNA from 1 species